GGCUAGGUGGCGGAGUGGUUAACGCGGUAGACUCGAAAUCUACUUCCUUCGGGAGCACCCGUUCGAAUCGGGUCCUAGUCG